UACGGAAGGCAGCAGUGGGGAAUAUUGCACAAUGGGCGCAAGCCUGAUGCAGCCAUGCCGCGUGUAUGAAAAAGGCCUUCGGGUUGUAAAGUACUUUCAGUCGUGAGGAAGGUGUUAAGGUUAAUAACCUUAGCAAUUGACGUUAGCGACAGAAGAAGCACCGGCUAACUCCGUGCCAGCAGCCGCGGUAAUACGGAGGGUGCGAGCGUUAAUCGGAAUUACUGGGCGUAAAGGGCACGCAGGCGGUUAAUUAAGUUGGAUGUGAAAUCCCCGGGCUUAACCUGGGAAUGGCAUUCAAGACUGGUUAGCUAGAGUCUUGUAGAGGGGGUAGAAUUCCGAUGUGUAGCGGUGAAAUGCGUAGAGAUGUGGAGGAAUACCGGUGGCGAAGGCGGCCCCUGGACAAAGACUGGACGCUCAUGUGCGAAAGCGUGGGGAGCAAACGAGGGAUUAGAUACCCGU
rnacentral:rRNA from 1 species